rnacentral:rRNA from 1 species
UACGUAGGGUGCAAGCGUUAAUCGGAAUACUGGGCGUAAAGCGUGCGCAGGCGGUUGUGCAAGACAGAUGUGAAAUCCCCGGGCUCAACCUGGGAAUUGCAUUUGUGACUGCACGGCUAGAGUGUGUCAGAGGGGGGGUAGAAUUCCACGUGUAGCAGUGAAAAUGCGUAGAUAUGCGGAGGAACACCGAUGGCGAAGGCAAUCCCCUGGACCUGUACUGACGCUCAU